UCGACGACGGUCGGCGCGAUGAAGUGGAUGUGGGUGUCGAUGGCGCCGGCCGUGACGAUCUUCCCGUUGCCCGCGAUGAUCUCGGUCUCCGGCCCGAUGACCAGGGCGGGGUCCACACCGUCCAUGGUGUCGGGGUUGCCGGCCUUGCCGAUGCCGCAGAUGCGGCCGUCGCGGAUGCCGACGUCGGCCUUGACGAUGCCCCAGUGGUCGAGGACGACCACACCGGUGAUCACCGUGUCGGGGGCGCCUUCGGCCCGGGUGGUGCGGGCCUGCCCCAUGGACUCGCGG
rnacentral:sRNA from 1 species